GACGUAGGGCGCGAGCGUUGUCCGGAUUUAUUGGGCGUAAAGAGCUCGUAGGCGGCUUGUUGCGUCGACCGUGAAAACCCGUGGCUUAACUGCGGGCUUGCGGUCGAUACGGGCGGGCUGGAGUUCGGUAGGGGAGACUGGAAUUCCUGGUGUAGCGGUGAAAUGCGCAGAUAUCAGGAGGAACACCCGUGGCGAAGGCGGUUCUCUGGGCCUUACCUGACGCUGAGGAGCGAAAGCGUGGGGAGCGAACAGG
rnacentral:rRNA from 1 species